rnacentral:lncRNA from 10 species
AUAAGAACCUCUUCCCCUCCCUUGUCCAAGUGUGUGCUCACCAUUGCUCCAUAUGCAAGGGCACAUGCUUCUAUAGAAGUACAUUGCCUUGCGAGAAUUACAAAGAAAAUUUUAUAUUGGAGUGAUAUUUCUUUUGUGGCACCAAAACUUUAUUUAUAACAAUUUGGGGGCUCAUCCAGGAUUACAUUCCCCUCCGAGGGUGAUCUCUGGUCCUCUCUUGCAAGCAGGCUUGCUCCGCCCCCUUGUGGCAGCCUCAGGGGUGAGAAAUCAGGACCCACCCAGUGCAAGAUAUAACUUGAGCUCUCAGCAAUGCAGAAAGAAACUCCCUAGCAACCUAGCUGCAGGAAUGACUCUGUGCACAGAUCAAGAAAGGAGAAGCCACGGGAGCUGAAAGCCUCACCAGAUACCACCCCCUUCUAUCUUGAACUUCUCAGCCUCCGUAACUGUGAGAAAUAAAUUUCUGUUUACUAUAAAUUACUCAAUCUGUGGCAUUCUGUUAUAGCAGCACAAAAUGGAUUAAGACAUCUCUCCUGGUACUUAUGCUUUCUUGGAGGAGGAGGUAAUAUGGGAGAAAUGAAAAAUUUUUUAAAAGCAAUUUUCUAAGCAAAAAGGAAUCAACACUUGAUGAUUUGGAAAACCAUCAGCCCAUCCAGAUAGCGUAGCCUCAAAACAAAGUCUAAGGUCUGACCUUAAGAAAAUAGGACCUUCCAUUUUCUAGCUCCUGGAACACUUCCACUUAGCACCCAGCCAUCAGACUGUGUAUGAGGAGAGGAACUGAGACCUGCAGACCAAUAACCUAAGCUGAACUCGCAGCUGAAAGCUAACCCACCUCUAAUGGACUCUCCACUCAAAAUCCAGAUUAGUGAACCAAAUAUAUGACUGUUGUUUUUAAGCCACUAUGUUUUAGCAUGGUAUGUUACACACCAAUAGAUAACUAAAACUGUUCUCUCACCAUCUCAACAUCCUCUUCAUAUUUUCUAAAUAAUAAAAUAUGCCAUUUGAUUUUACAAGAAACAAAUGUUAGAUGGCAGGGCUGAAGUUAAAUGGGAACCUAAUGUUCACAACGACUAACAGAUUUGUAAAUUGAGCUUAUAUGUCUACAUCAAAGUUCUCAAUCUUUAUUUAUGCUAUAGUUUAAAGCAUGACUAUACUUUUCAGCUGACUCUCUUGAAAAGUGGAGUAUAAUUAAUAUAUUGAUACCUGGAUAUAUUAUAUUUUAGUUCAUGAUUCCAUUUAGUCCUGAAAAAUAGAAGGCAUUGUCAUUUUGUAGACAUCUCCUUGAUAUAUUUGUGUUAGAGUUAACUCAAUUUUUUAAAUGUAAGAUUUAACUCUAUGACACUAAUCACCUGUCAUCAGUCACUGACUAUAGUUCAAUAUCAUUUGAGUCACCAAGGCUAAGAUAUACCAGAUAACUGUUUCAGUACAGGUGAUUUGCAUUUAUCAUCUAAGAGCUUAUAAGAACCUCCUCUCACUAAAAUAUCAGAGGUCUAACUUUUACCCCCUUCCUCACAUCAAAAGCAUAAAACGCUGAGAUAUAUAAAGAGGAGAUUUCAGGGAGUUUGAGAACUUACUCAAAUGAUGUAACUCAUUUGACAAAUGACUUGCUUCAUGCAUCUUUUAGAUAGCUAAGUCCAAUUAGCUAAAAUUAUAGUUGAAUUGAAUAUGUAAAUAUCUAUAAAGUUGGCCUAAUUAGAUCCAUAGGGUGGUGUAGCAUCUGUGUUUAAAGCCCAGCAAUUGUGAAGAGGUUUUGGUUGCAAGCUUAGGGGAGGCUGUGAAGACUGGCAAGUCUAAGUCCUCCCGUGGAAUCUGAGAUUUCACAGGUAGUAUCUGAGGAUGGGUGUGAGAUUACUGCUCAAGCCAGAAAGAUUAACAGCUGCCUCAAUGGGAAUAAGAGUCACUAGGAAAUUUGAUUCUAUCAUUCCUGAAUCCAAGGUGGCGUUAACAAGCUUAUUAUGUAAGAAAGCAGCCUCUGUUACUAAUCUAAGCUGUAUCUGUUUUUCUGCUUACGCCUAUGAACCAGAACAUAAGAAGUAGUAGAACAAAUGAUAUGAAUCUACAAAUUAUGCCACGUAUUUUAAUUCUUCACUAUUUAAAUAAUUAAAAACUAAGUUUUCUUCUAAAUGUGUCACAUAGUAUAGAUUUUCUAGGGUGCACUUAAGAAAUUUGGUGUACUCAAGAUGAUCAACCUGUCUCAAAAUAAACUUAGAUUUUUUGAAGACUCUUCUGUUAAAUUGGACUUUGACCAUCACUGACACUUAUUUUGACCUUAUAAUACCAUAAAUAUGUACCCUUGAUCAAGACUCCAGCUGAUAGACCCUUAGCAUAGAUACAUAAAAAUAAUAAACCUUAUCUGAACAUCUGUUUUAAGUCAGCUUUUGCUGUGGAAGCUGUUACAAUUACAAAUUAUUUCCAUUUGAUUUCACUGAAAUUCAAUUAACUUCGAGCAAAAAUUAGCAACACUAAUUUUUAAAUAAGGAUGGGGUGAAGGUGAUAGUUAUUGUGGAGCAUUGAUAUGAUAGAAGCAGUGAGGGUAGAAAAUGUGUGAACGUUAAAUGCCUUUAUUACUCAUUUUACAUUUCAUCAGGUAUCAGAUGGCAUGAAAAUACGCUGUCUUGGUCUAUUUUCUUGCUACCACCCCUAAGAUAUCACAUACUUGGCUGUUUCUUAUUCUAAAACCACAGUCCCUUGGGGGCUAGCUAUUAUUUUAAUGAUCAGAGUGAUGAUGAGUCUCUGAAUACCUUAAGGUUUGUAUACUAAGGAUUAUCUCAAUUUAGCUAACAUAAGCUCUAUGAAUGUGUUGCAUAUAAAAUCAUUUUAUCUAAGGCCACAUAUUCUCAAAAGACAUAUUAUGUUGUAUUUUACACCUGAUGCAUUUACAGUUACCACUAACAAGCAAGAAAAAAAUCUCCUCUACAGAGUUUGAAGUAUAUAUUUUUAAAUUAUUGUUGCUUCUAAAAAUACAAAAAUAGAUUUGGAGGUUGAUAUUUUUGGCAGGGGCUCUGAAUAUUUUCAUGUGGAAGUCAGCAACCUAAUAAGCCUGACUUACUGAGUGGAUCAGUGGGUUGUAAUUCUGGUAACUUAUUUUUUAACUAGCUUGAGGCUAGGUCUAUCUCAAUUAUGCUUCAGGUUGUAUAAUAGAUUAUAUGGCAUAUUCAAUAAAGUUGAUAUUGUAUUAAACACAGUAGAGACAAUUAAUGAAUAUUUUUUUCUCGUGAGUUGAUAUUUUAAAAAGAGUUAAUUAUGUAGAAUUUUUUGAAAGGCUUUAUUCAAUAGGACUCAAUACCGGUCUGAUCAUCAUCCUACGAUAAUGGGAUAUGGGUCACAGCAGGGAGAAAAUCAAUAGUGCUGAUGGGCUAUUUUAUUUAAAUCUCAAGCAGUUUUCUCUUCAUAAUAAGAAGAUGUUUUCCAAUUAAAUUGUAAAUUUGAACUAAUAUAUUGUUUUAUAUAAGAUACUUUAUAACUUA